AUGCUUAUGCGUUCAUUCUUGCUUGUUCAAUAUGAUGUAAACUGUUCAAUACUCUUUCCUAACCCCUCUAAUCUACUCCUAAACCCUAAAACUCUCUCAAUAACUUCUUGUCCCUGACUCUCUCUAUCCCUAUCUCUGAUUCCAAUUCCUUUUAACUGUCUCCUCCAGCUGUCCAACUGUCAUUCUGACUCCGCCCCUCCUGCUCUAUCCUCUGAUUGACAGGCAGGGAUGACAUCAUCUUUGAGAUUCCGUUACAGUAUACAACAAGUAAGCUGGGUUGGGUUGGCUCCCUCACUGCUGAUUUUCACACAGAGGUUGAACAGUCAUCUGUUGAAGAUACUGUACUCCAGCUGCGGGAACAGAUAGCCAAGAAGCCCUCUUCUAACUCUAUGAAAUCUUAUCUUCAGUACAACUUUCAUAUGUAGCUAUAGUCAUGCCUUAUAUACUUCUUUUAGGGAGAUAGUCUGUGGUUUAUAAAGCAAUUGAAGUCCUUUUUCACAUAUUCUGUAAGUCACUCUUGCACACAACUGUUUUUGUCAGAUCAUUGCUGCAGACAAUUGCAGGAAGGACAACAGCUUUAUUGGCAUCAACUUUAUUGGGAACACUAAAUAUGCACAUCUUGGAACUCUUUAUUAGUAUGGAUUAUUUUAAAAAUCUUCCUCCUAAAGCAUAGAGGCUCUGGCAAUAGGGGAAGUAUUAGCAGAAGCUUCAUGCACCUUUCUGAGAGCGAGAUGAGAAGGUGGCUCAACAACCACAAGGACUUUCAAAUCUUCCACAGUCAUAGUUGAAAGCAAAUAAGAGCUUCUAGGCAAUGGCAGGACAGGUUACUUAUUUUGACCGAUCUUCUGUUAAUCAAUAUUAAGGUUCCCAUACAGUGAUAUCCAUUUCAGACAAGCUCAACAUCCAUCAGUGCUGAUAGUAUUUUGGGGAGGCACUCUGUGAAUAUAUCUGUGUAUAUCAAUAUACUGAAUUUAGUAUUUUUCUCCAACAUAGAGAAGUGAGGGCUGUUCUGGAGUUGGAGGGUGAAUCACCACAGACGAGCUUUUGUGUAGAUGGCUUUUGAGCUCGGUCUAAGACGGUUUGAAAGGUGGGAGUAUCCUCCAAGCUAUCAGAUUAAGAGACUGGAUGCCGGGAUGAAGGAUCGCUCCAUUGCUCUGUGACAGGAGGUUGGGUAUCAAUGGUAGAUGGAAUACGUCCGUCAACAGCAAUCUCAGGCCGCGUAUUUUGAGUCCUUGACAUUGGGCUUCCCAUCCCAAAGGGCUGGCAUUGGUGGUUAACUGUAUAGAUAACUGUAGAGGUUUGAAGGGUCUGGCUACUGCUAGAUGCAGAAGGAAUGUCCACCAGCAGGUUCCUCAAAAUGGGUUCGAGCUUUGGAGAUGGAUGUCAAGCUCGACUUUGAGGAAACCUUAGAGGUUUCUUUCUGCCUUGUUGGAAUUGGCGUCGGACUCGAUAUCGAGCAAGCUGUUGGGCUCCACAUGGAACUAGCUGUUUCAGGAUGGGUUGAAUCUUUGGACGCUGGAGAUGUUAGUGUUUCCAUAGUCGGGUGAAGAGAUUUCUCCCACAAGUAAGAUCUUAAAUGCUAUAGUCUUAAUUUUAUUGCUGGUUUUGUAUUUUUUUGCAUUCAGGGCACGCUUGGGUCUGGUGUUCUUCUCCAAGGCAAAACAAGCAUUUAUCGUGCCCGUCCAUUAGCGGUAUUUUCUUAGAACAAAGAACGCACCACUUAAACGGUCCCUGAGGGGCCAUAAAAAUAGGAAAGGGAA